rnacentral:tRNA from 1 species
GAGGUUGUUGCUCAGUGGUAGAGCACUUGUCUCACAUGCAUGAGGCACUGGGUUCAAUCCUCAGCACCACA